rnacentral:lncRNA from 1 species
GCAGAAAAUCAGUCUCUCCCCUCUCUCCCAAGCACUGCUGCCUUAGUCUUUGGGGCCUUGCAGAUCUUACAGCCGAAGGCUGUGGUCAUCCGUGUAGUGACCUACAAACCACCUUCACACACUGUAUUUCUUGUCAUGCAUGGUCACUGAAGUCUGUUACUUAAGCUUCUGUUCAACUAAGGUUGUGUCACAAAUUUCUUUAAAUUCCUGGAUCAAAUAAGAUUGGGGGGGGGAGGCUCUUCUGCCUUUUUAUUUUAAAUGGCUGUAUCCACGGUACGUGGAUCGCCCCAGGCCAGGGAUGUAAUCUAAGCCACAGCUGCGACGUGUGCCACAGCUGUGGCACCGCUGGGUCCUUUAACCCAACCUGCUGCAGUUGGACUCUUAACCCACCGCGCCAUGGUGUGAACUCAUUCUGCCUUUUGAAUCCCCGGAUUCAUGCUACCAGAGAGGCUGUUCUAGCUGUGGAUGCUGAAAUAAUGACCACGCUGAACCGGCUCCUCAGCAGAGUUCCAGGCAGAUUAAAACACACAGCUCGAAUCUCUGGAGGCAGAAGCUCCUUUUAUUCACCCUGGCUUGAGCAGGUUGUGCCAGUAAGGUGGGGUGCUGUUCCCCCCGGCUGCCAUGGCGGGGCUGGGCGUGGUGGUGGCUACAUGAAAUGCCAAAAUUCACUGAAAUCUGCCAGCCUUUCUUUAUCAACCACCUCCUUGGAUGUUGUGAGUCUGAGGAGACUCCUCAGUGCUAAAAUAGUUAUUUUAGUUCUUGUCGUGGCUCAGUGGUUAACGAACCCAACUAGUAUCCAUGAGGAUGCAGGUUCGAUCCCUGGCCUCACUCAGUGGGUUAAGGAUCUGGCGUUGCUGUGGCGGUGGGGUAGGUCGCAGACACAGCUCGGAUCCGGUGUGGCUGUGGCCGUGGCGGAGGCUGGUGGCUGCAGCUCUGACUGGACCCCUGGCCUGGGAACCUCCACAUGCCUUGGAUGUGGUCUUUAAAAAACUGAAGCGUUAAUUCAGACAGAUUUUGCAAGCUCAGUAGUUGAUUUGGUGGGGUACUGAUUCCUGGAGCUUACCUAUGUUGGAAGGGUUUGAGUUACACGUUCAGCUGUUUUUUUUAGGUUCCCAGGCUAGGGGUCAAAUGGGAGCUGUAGCCGCCGGCCUAUACCACAGCCACAGCUGCACCGGAUCCAAGCCACAUCUGCAACCUGUACCCCAGCUCACAGCAAUGCCGGAUCCUUAACUCACUGAGCGGGGCCAGGGAUCAAGUCCGGGUCCUCACGGAUGCGAGUCGGGUUCAUUAACCACAAGCCAGGACGGGAACUCAUUUGUUCUUUUUGAGUUGCGUAACUUCAUCUGCGUUGAGAGCACUUGCCCUCAUUUCAUGGGGUGUGGUCGCAGCUCAUGUCCUUUCUGCUGCCCCCGGCAUAUGCUUACGUCGCUGUUUUCUCUCCCUUUAGGGGUUUUCCUGGCUCUUUGCACAUCGAGUCAUUCUGGAUGGUUCUGGACAUCUUGCGUGGUCUCUGAAUCCUAUGUAAAGCCUCUAGAGAAUGUUAACUUUUUUUCUUUUUUUAAAGCAGGCACAUGAUCCAGCCAGGGUCAGACUGAACUGCCAACCUACCCGCUGUGCGCCGUGGUUCCAGGUCAGUGGUUCUCCAAGCUUGCCGAGCAGCGUGGGCAGCUCAAGGUGAGCCGGGGGGCGGUAUCCAGCUCCAGGGGGGGCUUUCUCUACCUUCCUCUAGGCCUUGAUGUCCUGUGCGUCCUGUCUCCUGACCCUCAGCUAACAGGCCCAGGUCUCGGCCCCCCCGUGACGUUACGCACCUCGUGGGGCCAGAUAAAGCCUGUCUCCCUCCCACCCCCGCCUGGACUGGCAGCGCCCCUGGUCCGGCCCCUCCGCGGGCCCACUGUCUCCAGGGUGUGCAGUGCUGAUGCCCAGGCCAUCCCAGAAGCUACGCCAGGAGACGCGGGGGGACAGUUGAGGACAGUCGUUGCUGCAGGGGCUGCUCUUCUGGGGAUGAUCCCCUGCUGUCGCUUCUUCCACGACCGAGACGGUUGCUUUGUCCCGUGAAUGCCCGAGACACAGGGCAGAGCGUGUUCACGCCAUGGGGACCUCAGGACGUGUCUCAAGUCAGAACUUCUGUGUUCACAGGUUUCGUCGUCUCACCAGAGCGCGUCUGAAACCUGCGAACACUGGUCACUGGGGACAGGAGCACGGAGGCGGGUCCACCUGGGUCUUUCCACCCCCGCACGCGGUGCAGCCUCACCUCCGCUCGGGCCUCAACUCACCACGCGGUGAUGGCACGGAGCCUCCAGAGCUGCCUCAGCCCACGAGGCACGGGGCCCAGACGCGCGCCUCCCCCAGCGGCUGCCACCCUCUGGUCUGAGGAGCUCGUCGGCUUCUACGAACCGAAGGCCUCCUCUCUCGACUCCUUUCUCGGGUGGAGGAAGGUCACCCUGCAGGAUGGCGGUCGCCUCCUCCUCCGCUCCAUUCACUUCGGCGUGAACUACGGCAUCACCAGAGCGGCUCCUCCGGAGCAAGAAGGGGCCGCGACCUAAAGCACUGGAAGCAGGGAUCCGCCGCGGACCCCGGCCCCAAAGGCGCGGCCGUCCAGGCCGCUGUCCGCACCGCCCUGCCUGUCUCUAGGGAGGGCGCCACUCUUCGCUCCGUGGGAACUGUCCUUGAAGGCGGUGCCACACCCCGGGUGACGGGCCGGGACCUGCGUGCCCGCCUGCCCCUUAGACACGGUUUCCGUCUCACAGGACGACGUGGCUCAGCUGCUUUGCAACGUCCCUUCCCAGGCUGAGCGCUGAGCCUGCAGGAGAAACGGCAGCUACGGGCUGUUCAACUCCAACUCGACGGCAACAGCCAGGCUGACUCAGCGGGGCCUGCGACCGGAGCCUGUGCCCGGGCACACGCGCUCCCCCUUCCCGCGGUGGAGCCCGGAGCUGGCACUGCUGUCGUCACAGCCGCUCCUUCCGACACUUGUUCCAGCGCACGAGGCCUCUGGCGAGCUCCGAACAGAGCAGUGCCUGCUUAAGCUUAUCCAAAGGACAAUGAUACUCUGUAUUCAAUUAAAAUUAAUAAAAAUAUUUUAUUGAGU